GGGGUCUCUGUGGUUCUCGGGCAGAACCGAGGGCUUUGUGUUCGCUGGAGAAACACUCUGCGGAAUGGGCAAGGAGCUCAGCAGGAACUCUGGAUCACAACCACGCAGGAGUUCUUCUGGUUCCUUUGCCAUUCCAUCUUUCCAAUCAAACCACAAGGAUCUUGACCAUGACGACAUUUAAAGCUGGAGCUGAAGGCGCCAGCCACCACUCCCAGCUUAAUCACCUUGGCUAUAAAAUGCCAAGCUAUCACCAGGUGGUCAUGGUGCAGGCCUUUAAUCCCAGCACUCAGGAGGCAGGGACUGGUGGAUCUCUCUGAGUUUGAGACCAGCCUGACCUACAGAGAGAGUUCCAGGACAAGCUCCAAAGCUACCGAGAAACCUGUCUUGAAAAACGAAAAAAGAAGAAAAAAAGAUGAAAGAUGUCAAGUUAUCCGUCUGAUGGAUUGAUAGAUGAUCCUUUGACAAAGAUUUGAGAAGUUCAAUAAAAUUUUUUUCACCAUUUAUUGUAUAA